UUCAAAAAUUGGACAGGUUUCCACCCUUGCCUUGUUGUCAAUUUUUAGUCCACUUCCUUUCAUUUUUAGGAGGAGGGUCACAGAAACUUGGGGGACUCCUCUUCUCUUCCUCACUCACGCAUAUCUCUCUUCAUCCUUGACCUCCUCCUUGUCUUUCUCCCUUGCGCCACCGCAUCACCGUCCCCUUCUCUCACCCCCCGUCCUCCUUGGUGUUACCCUGUGGCUGCAAUUAUUGUUAUUAUUGUUGUUGUCAUGGUUGAUGCUGCUCUCUUCCUCUCCUCUGUGUUGUCGGCUCUGCGUAACCUCGCCGCCGGCGACGGUGGCCUGUAGUUGCCACCGUUUAUACUCCAUCACCUAGUGGGUAAUUUCUAAAAUCUCUUUCUAUUCAUUGGUUUAAUUGAGUUAGAUCAAAAUCCCCAAAAUUUCAGACCCUAACUUCAUCUUCUCUUAUUUUCUUACUGAUCCCCGACGAGAGGCCCAUUCUAUUACCCCUUGGAGCUCGUCGCGGCCUCAAUGGCUGCCGGAGUUAUUGGAAUCGUUCUUGAUUGAUUGAUUGGUCUCAAGUCAAGUCAUGAGCUUUCGGUUUAACAUAAGAAUAGCAGAACGAGUUCGAGGAUAGAGCAUCCAAAAUUGUGCUAAGUGUUUACUCAAGGGGCUCCCGGGUCACGUAAAAGCUAGAGUUGGGGGGUGUGCACACAAGUUAUUGAAUUAGUUGGCCAACGAAGAAUGAAUGUACUGUCAGCGGCUUCCGGGUACAUCUCAAAUAGACUGUCAGGGGCUCCCGGGUCUAUCUAUUGUUCAGUAGAUUGUCAGGGGCUCCCGGAUCUACUUAGAAUGGAGAAUUCAAGGAAUUAGGAAUAUAUGAGAUAGUGUUUAUACGAUUAGAGAAGAACUCAAAUAGAAAAUCAUUAGAAAUCCUCAAAUACUCAUUUUGUUUUAUAUUUUAUUAUUCAAAAUUAUUUGAAAACGAUGUCUAGAACUUUUGUAUACUAUUUAACUUGUUUAUGCUUCUAUGAUUUCAUUAAUAUUUAUUUUACUGA